rnacentral:rRNA from 1 species
UACGUAGGGCGCGAGCGUUAUCCGGAUUUAUUGGGCGUAAAGAGCUCGUAGGCGGUAUGCCACGUCUGUUGUGAAAACUGGAGGCUCAACCUCCAGCCUGCAGUGGGUACGGGCAAACUAGAGUGCGGUAGGGGAGAUUGGAAUUCCUGGUGUAGCGGUGGAAUGCGCAGAUAUCAGGAGGAACACCGAUGGCGAAGGCAGAUCUCUGGGCCGUAACUGACGCUGAGGAGCGAAAGCAUGGGGAGCGAACAGG